UCCUGUACGGAGCGUAAGGUGACAGCCGGCAGAGCCGACCGGUCUGCGGCGCUGACAGCCGCCAGCUUCUCAGAGGAAAGAGAACGAAACGGAGAUAUUCUGCUGCCAGGCCACGACGAGACGCUCGACUCACGGCGGCCGCGGCCUCGACAGCCUCGCGGCUGACACUCCGUCUGCAGGUUUAACUGCGACCUGAAAGCGCAUUCUUACAACUGGAGUUAAAAGAGGAUGCACUCCCACCCCCCGCCUCUCUACACUGUCAACUUUCAUCAGCAACAGCACCUGUUGGUGAUAUGGAAGACACGGAGACAAAGGAGAAGCAACUAGC